rnacentral:rRNA from 1 species
CCUACGGGGGGCAGCAGUGAGGAAUAUUGGUCAAUGGUCGGGAGACUGAACCAGCCAAGCCGCGUGAGGGAGGAAGGUACAGAGUAUCGUAAACCUCUUUUGUCAGGGAACAAAGGCGGGGACGUGUCCCCGGAUGAGUGUACCUGAAGAAAAAGCAUCGGCUAACUCCGUGCCAGCAGCCGCGGUAAUACGGAGGAUGCGAGCGUUAUCCGGAUUUAUUGGGUUUAAAGGGUGCGCAGGCGGUCUGUCAAGUCAGCGGUAAAAGCCCGGGGCUCAACCCCUGCCCGCCGUUGAAACUGGCAGUCUCGAGUGGGAGAGAAGUAUGCGGAAUGCGCGGUGUAGCGGUGAAAUGCAUAGAUAUCGCGCAGAACUCCGAUUGCGAAGGCAGCAUGCCGGCUCCACACUGACGCUGAGGCACGAAAGCGUGGUUAUCGAACAGGAUUAGAUACCCUAGUAGUC